rnacentral:rRNA from 1 species
GACGAACGCUGGCGGCGCGCCUAACACAUGCAAGUCGAACGGAGCUGAGAGAAGCUUGCUUUUCUUAGCUUAGUGGCGAACGGGUGAGUAACGCGUGAGUAACCUGCCCUGGAGUGGGGGACAACAGUUGGAAACGACUGCUAAUACCGCAUAAGCCCACGAUCCGGCAUCGGAUUGAGGGAAAAGGAUUUAUUCGCUUCAGGAUGGACUCGCGUCCAAUUAGCUAGUUGGUGAGGUAACGGCCCCCCAAGGCGACGAUUGGUAGCCGGACUGAGAGGUUGAACGGCCACAUUGGGACUGAGACACGGCCCAGACUCCUACGGGAGGCAGCAGUGGGGGAUAUUGCACAAUGGGGGAAACCCUGAUGCAGCGACGCCGCGUGGAGGAAGAAGGUUUUCGGAUUGUAAACUCCUGUCGUUAGGGACGAUAAUGACGGUACCUAACAAGAAAGCACCGGCUAACUACGUG